UACAGAGGUCUCAAGCGUUGUCCGGAUUCAUUGGGCGUAAAGGGUGCGUAGGUGGCGCGGUAAGUCGGGUGUGAAAUCUUGGAGCUUAACUCCGAAACUGCAUUCGAUACUGCCGUGCUUGAGGACUGGAGAGGAGACUGGAAUUUACGGUGUAGCGGUGAAAUGCGUAGAUAUCGUAAGGAAGACCAGUGGCGAAGGCGGGUCUCUGGACAGUUCCUGACGCUGAGGCACGAAGGCCAGGGGAGCAAACGGG
rnacentral:rRNA from 1 species